AGAGUUUGAUCCUGGCUCAGAUUGAACGCUGGCGGCAUGCUUUACACAUGCAAGUCGAACGGUAACAGGCCGCAAGGUGCUGACGAGUGGCGAACGGGUGAGUAAUGCAUCGGAACGUGCCCAGUCGUGGGGGAUAACGCAGCGAAAGCUGUGCUAAUACCGCAUACGAUCUAUGGAUGAAAGCGGGGGACCGUAAGGCCUCGCGCGAUUGGAGCGGCCGAUGUCAGAUUAGCUAGUUGGUGGGGUAAAGGCCCACCAAGGCGACGAUCUGUAGCUGGUCUGAGAGGACGACCAGCCACACUGGGACUGAGACACGGCCCAGACUCCUACGGGAGGCAGCAGUGGGGAAUUUUGGACAAUGGGCGCAAGCCUGAUCCAGCAAUGCCGCGUGCAGGAAGAAGGCCUUCGGGUUGUAAACUGCUUUUGUACGGGACGAAACGGUCUGGGUUAAUACCUCGGGCUAAUGACGGUACCGUAAGAAUAAGCACCGGCUAACUACGUGCCAGCAGCCGCGGUAA
rnacentral:rRNA from 1 species